AGUGAACGCUGGCGGCAUGCCUAACACAUGCAAGUCGAACGGCAGCACGGUAUCAGCUUGCUCUUAGGGGCGGAGAGUGGCGGAAGGGUGCGGAAUAUACCGGAUUCUACUUUGUAAUGGGGGAUAACGUAGGGUAAUUUCCGCUAAUACCGCAUACGACCUCCGGGGGAAAGCAAGGGAUCUUCGGACCUUGCGCGAUGGUAUGAGCCGAUGUCGGAUUAGCUAGUUGGCGGGGUAAAGGCGUACAAAGGCGACGAUCCGUAGCUGGUCUGAGAGGAUGAUCAGCCACACUGGAACUGAGACACGGCCCAGACUCCUACGGGAGGCAGCAGUGGGGAAUAUUGGACAAUGGGCGCAAGCCUGAUCCAGCCAUACCGCGUGGAGGAUGAAGGCCUUCGGGUUGUAAAGUGCUUUUGUUGGGAAAGAAAAGCAGCAGUUUAAUACCGGACGGUUAUGACGGUACCGAAAGAAUAAGCACCGGCUAACUACGUG
rnacentral:rRNA from 1 species